UGUCACCAAUUAACCUGACAAGCAUACAAUUCCAAAGUCGCACAAUAGGCCGAAAUACAAUCCUUACACAAUAUCACCUACGGUGACAAUCAAAGCCAACAACUAGGCUCAAGUCACUCAACCAAAAAUUCUGAACGUCAAGACAAUAGACCGAAACUACUAACCAACAAACCUUUUAGCUAAAUGGGAGCACAAGUAAAAGCUAUGAACACCCAGACUCGAACCAGAGUCAGAACCACCUGCAGUGAUGAUAAAUCAACUGCGCAAACCUGCCAAGAGAAUCCAAGGCCCACUACGUGAUCAAAGAUGACCGAUACCCAACCAUCCUCACAAGACUAUCUACGGAGGAAAGAAAUACCGACCCAAUCCAUGAGUCCCAAACAGGAAGGAGAUAUUUCGUUUCAUCUUUCGACAGCACAUUGUCUGCAGCCAAUGUACUUAUCAAAAGAGGAAGCGAACUAUCCGAAGAUCCACUACCAACAACAAGGUGGAAGCGUGACACGUUGAAAUACCAAACCACUUGAUAUUUCACUACUGAACCAAACAUCCCCAACCAAAACCGUCGAAUCAUCGACUUAGCAAACCGACGCUCAAAACAAGAUCGAGCUAGAACCGACUCACAGGGAGUCCCAUAGCUUUCAAUAUCCGAAAGCUGCUUGCGACUCCAAGCCGCGAACCGCACAAACAGAGGCUUUAGGAACCGGUUUCUCCAACCAAUUCCCGCACCAUAACCGAGCUAUAAUCAAAGCUCCGAAAAUUCCGACAAUAACCUGGAGUGUCUCGAAUCAAGACGAAACCUAUCACCAACUACAAACUAACCCAUGACACACCAAUUAGGUGUUAGGAUAACCGCAUACGAUGUAUGCAUCAGCGAAGACCUAACAUCAAAACUGUAUCAAUCCAACUCUAGUACAUGUCAAUUGACGGAAGAACGAGAUAAAGGUCAAAAGAUCCAAACCGCUGAUUUCAUCAGCAAUCAAGGAAAAGAGGUAGACAUCACAGCCCUACCCAAAGAUCUGAAGAAACAACACCAACAAUGCAGUCGUCUAAACGACCGCUAACCAAACCUUGGGCUACACCCUAGUAGCCCCACGGAAGUCGUGACUUUAACAGAUCUCAAUGCCGUCUCCGUAAAGACACUCGCAGUAGCACUCGUGUCCUAAGUAGGAAGAGUGGCCCGGGCAUCGGCAAUAGAAUAAUUGCCUAUGCUCGAAAAUCUCACCUGGCCCUUCAGGGCCCCCACCUGACAGGAGUGGCACCACCUGGGGGAACGUCGCCCCACCACUCGAUGUCCGAAAAAGUACACCGCCACUACUCCUGACUUAGACACUAGCUUGUGCGAAAACCGAAGUACGAAUAGAAGUAACCCUGCACCUCGAGUUUACCAAACUCGAAUACACACCGGGACACAAGCUCAAACCCCGCACUCACGUGCCUAUAUAUCGUAGGUCUUCCUAUAGGUCAACCUAACCAAUGGUUCAGUUUCAUUUACUUUUCAAAACAACCUGUGAAUGUGUUGUGGUUGUAACCUUUUCUCUGAUACCACUUUAAUCUGUCACGCCCCGGAGUCCCCUUUUAGUUUGAA
rnacentral:lncRNA from 1 species